AGGGGUGGGGCUAGCAGGAUCCUGGCUAUUGGCUGAGGGGUGUUCUAGGCUGUCCAUUCCGAAGCAUCCUCACUUGCCUUCCCAUGGCCUGGCCUCUCACUGUGGAUUCAUUGGUGACAAAACAGAGGAAUGGGGUCCAAGUGUUGAGUACGCCUACUUCAGGAGAUGGGACUGGACUCUGCCGAUCUGAGAUGACCCCUCCCAACACUGUUCUAUCCCUGUCCAGACCCCUGGGUUCUGGCACUAAUAGGCUCAUCCAGGAUCUACAGCAUUCAGAUGGUCAUAGACGGCUCCACCUCUUCCUCUUCACUUCUUCAAGGACGACCCUGCCCAGGUAUGCACUGAGCAU
rnacentral:lncRNA from 1 species